rnacentral:rRNA from 1 species
UACGAAGGGGGCGAGCGUUGUUCGGAUUUACUGGGCGUAAAGGGCGCGUAGGCGGCCCUCCUUGUCGCGUGUGAAAGCCCCGGGCUCAACCUGGGAAUUGCGCGCGAAACGGGGGGGCUUGAGUUCGGGAGAGGAGCGUGGAAUUCCCAGUGUAGAGGUGAAAUUCGUAGAUAUUGGGAAGAACACCGGUGGCGAAGGCGGCGCUCUGGACCGAGACUGACGCUGAGGCGCGAAAGCGUGGGGAGCGAACAGG